rnacentral:rRNA from 1 species
GACAGAGGGUGCAAACGUUGUUCGGAAUUACUGGGCGUAAAGCGUGUGUAGGCGGUCUCGAAAGUCGGAUGUGAAAGCCCUGGGCUCAACCCAGGAAGUGCACCCGAAACUGUGAGGCUAGAGUAUCGGAGAGGUUGGUGGAAUUCUCGGUGUAGAGGUGAAAUUCGUAGAUAUCGAGAGGAACACCGGUGGCGAAGGCGGCCAACUGGACGAAUACUGACGCUGAGACACGAAAGCGUGGGGAGCAAAC